rnacentral:rRNA from 1 species
AUUGAACGCUGGCGGCAAGCCUAACACAUGCAAGUCGAACGAGUGGCGGACGGGUGAGUAAUGGAUGGGAAACUGCCUGAUGGAGGGGGAUAACUACUGGAAAAGGUAGCUAAUACCGCAUAAAAUCGGAUGAGCCCAGAUGGGAUUAGCUAGUAGGUGGGGUAAAGGCUCACGUAGGCGACGAUCCCUAGCUGGUCUGAGAGGCUGACCAGCCACACUGGAACUGAGACACGGUCCAGACUCCUACGGGAGGCAGCAGUGGGGAAUAUUGCACAAUGGGCGCAAGCCUGAUGCAGCCAUGCCGCGUGUAUGAAGAAGGCCUUCGGGUUGUAAAGUACUUUCAGCGGGGAGGCGUUACCCGCAGAAGAAGCACCGGCUAACUCCGUGCCAGCAGCCGCGGUAAUUC